UACGUAGGGUGCAAGCGUUAAUCGGAAUUACUGGGCGUAAAGCGUGCGCAGGCGGUUAUGCAAGACAGAUGUGAAAUCCCCGGGCUUAACCUGGGAACCGCAUUUGUGACUGCAUAGCUGGAGUACGGCAGAGGGGGAUGGAGUUCCGCGUGUAGCAGUGAAAUGCGUAGAUAUGCGGAGGAACACCGAUGGCGAAGGCAGCCCCCUGGGCUAACACUGACGCUCAUGCACGAAAGCGUGGGGAGCAAACAGG
rnacentral:rRNA from 1 species